rnacentral:rRNA from 1 species
GGGUUGUGAGGUUAAGCGACUAAGCGUACACGGUGGAUGCCCUGGCAGUCAGAGGCGAUGAAGGACGUGCUAAUCUGCGAAAAGCGUCGGUAAGGUGAUAUGAACCGUUAUAGCCGGCGAUGUCCGAAUGGGGAAACCCAGUGCAAUUCGUUGCACUAUCGUUAACUGAAUACAUAGGUUAACGAGGCGAACCGGGGGAACUGAAACAUCUAAGUACCCCGAGGAAAAGAAAUCAACCGAGAUUCCCCCAGUAGCGGCGAGCGAACGGGGAGCAGCCCAGAGUCUGAAUCAGCUUGUGUGUUAGUGGAACGGUCUGGAAAGUCCGACGGUACAGGGUGAUAGUCCCGUACACCAAAAUGCACAGGCUGUGAACUCGAAGAGUAGGGCGGGACACGUGGUAUCCUGUCUGAAUAUGGGGGGACCAUCCUCCAAGGCUAAAUACUCCUGACUGACCGAUAGUGAACCAGUACCGUGAGGGAAAGGCGAAAAGAACCCCGGCGAGGGGAGUGAAAAAGAACCUGAAACCGUGUACGUACAAGCAGUGGGAGCACCUUCGGGUGUGACUGCGUACCUUUUGUAUAAUGGGUCAGCGACUUAUAUUCUGUAGCAAGGUUAACCGUAUAGGGGAGCCGCAGGGAAACCGAGUCUUAACUGGGCGUUAAGUUGCAGGGUAUAGACCCGAAACCCGGUGAUCUAGCCAUGGGCAGGUUGAAGGUUGGGUAACACUAACUGGAGGACCGAACCGACUAAUGUUGAAAAAUUAGCGGAUGACUUGUGGCUGGGGGUGAAAGGCCAAUCAAACCGGGAGAUAGCUGGUUCUCCCCGAAAGCUAUUUAGGUAGCGCCUCGUGAAUUCAUCUUCGGGGGUAGAGCACUGUUUCGGCUAGGGGGUCAUCCCGACUUACCAACCCGAUGCAAACUACGAAUACCGAAGAAUGUUAUCACGGGAGACACACGGCGGGUGCUAACGUCCGUCGUGAAGAGGGAAACAACCCAGACCGCCAGCUAAGGUCCCAAAGUCAUGGUUAAGUGGGAAACGAUGUGGGAAGGCACAGACAGCCAGGAUGUUGGCUUAGAAGCAGCCAUCAUUUAAAGAAAGCGUAAUAGCUCACUGGUCGAGUCGGCCUGCGCGGAAGAUGUAACGGGGCUAAACCAUGCACCGAAGCUGCGGCAGCGACACUAUGUGUUGUUGGGUAGGGGAGCGUUCUGUAAGCCUGCGAAGGUGACCUGUGAGGGUUGCUGGAGGUAUCAGAAGUGCGAAUGCUGACAUAAGUAACGAUAAAGCGGGUGAAAAGCCCGCUCGCCGGAAGACCAAGGGUUCCUGUCCAACGUUAAUCGGGGCAGGGUGAGUCGACCCCUAAGGCGAGGCCGAAAGGCGUAGUCGAUGGGAAACAGGUUAAUAUUCCUGUACUUGGUGUUACUGCGAAGGGGGGACGGAGAAGGCUAUGUUAGCCGGGCGACGGUUGUCCCGGUUUAAGCAUGUAGGCUGAUUGUCCAGGCAAAUCCGGAUAAUCAAGGCUGAGGUGUGAUGACGAGGCACUACGGUGCUGAAGUAACAAAUGCCCUGCUUCCAGGAAAAGCCUCUAAGCAUCAGGUAACAUCAAAUCGUACCCCAAACCGACACAGGUGGUCAGGUAGAGAAUAC